rnacentral:rRNA from 1 species
GGUGAGUAACGCGUGGGAAUCUACCCAUCUCUACGGAACAACUCCGGGAAACUGGAGCUAAUACCGUAUACGUCCUUCGGGAGAAAGAUUUAUCGGAGAUGGAUGAGCCCGCGUUGGAUUAGCUAGUUGGUGGGGUAAUGGCCUACCAAGGCGACGAUCCAUAGCUGGUCUGAGAGGAUGAUCAGCCACAUUGGGACUGAGACACGGCCCAAACUCCUACGGGAGGCAGCAGUGGGGAAUAUUGGACAAUGGGCGAAAGCCUGAUCCAGCCAUGCCUGCGUGAGUGAUGAAGGCCCUAGGGUUGUAAAGCUCUUUCAACGGUGAAGAUAAUGACGGUAACCGUAGAAUAAGCCCCGGCUAACUUCGUGCCAGCAGCCGCGGUAAUACAAGAGGGGCUAGCGUUGUUCGGAAUUACUGGGCGUAAAGCGCACGUAGGCGGAUUGUUUAUGUAGGGGUGAAAUCCCGGGGCUCAACCCCGGAACUGCCUUUAAUACUGGCAAUCUCGAGUCCGAGAGAGGUGAGUGGAAUUCCGAGUGUAGAGGUGAAAUUCAUAGAUAUUCGGAGGAACACCAGUGGCGAAGGCGGCUCACUGUGCUCGGUACUGACGCUGAGGUGCGAAAGCGUGGGGAGCAAACAGGAUUAGAUACCCUGGUAGUCCACGCCGUAAACUAUGAGAGCUAGCCGUCGGCAAGUUUACUUGUCGGUGGCGCAGCUAACGCAUUAAGCUCUCCGCCUGGGGAGUACGGUCGCAAGAUUAAAACUCAAAGGAAUUGACGGGGUCCCACACAAGCGGUGGAGCAUGUGGUUUAAUUUGAAGCAACGCGCAGAACCUUACCAGCCCUUGACAUCCCGGUCGCGGUUUCCAGAGAUGGAUUCCUUCAGUUCGGCUGGACCGCUGACAGGUGCUGCAUGGCUGUCGUCAGCUCGUGUCGUGAGAUGUUGGGCUAAAUCCCGCAACGAGCGCAACCCUCGCCCUUAGUUGCCAGCAUUAAGUUGGGCACUCUAAGGGGACUGCCGGUGAUAAGCCGAGAGGAAGGUGGGGAUGACGUCAAGUCCUCAUGGCCCUUACGGGCUGGGCUACACACGUGCUACAAUGGUGGUGACAGUGGGCAGCGAGACCGCGAGGUCGAGCUAAUCUCCAAAAGCCAUAUCAGUUCGGAUUGCACUCUGCAACUCGAGUGCAUGAAGUUGGAAUCGCUAGUAAUCGCGGAUCAUCAUGCCGCGGUGAAUACGUUCCCGGGCCUUGUACACACCGCCCGUCACACCAUGGGAGUUGGUUUUACCCGAAGGCGCUGUGCUAACCGCAAGG